rnacentral:rRNA from 1 species
UACGUAGGGUGCGAGCGUUAAUCGGAAUUACUGGGCGUAAAGCGUGCGCAGGCGGUUUUGUAAGCCAGAUGUGAAAUCCCCGGGCUUAACCUGGGAAUGGCAUUUGGGACUGCAAGGCUCGAGUGCGGCAGAGGAGACUGGAAUUCCUGGUGUAGCAGUGAAAUGCGUAGAUAAUUGGGAGGAACACCAGUGGCGAAGGCGGCUCACUGGACCGGUACUGACGCUGAUGCGCGAAAGCGUGGGGAGCAAACGGG